UACGGAGGGAGCUAGCGUUAUUCGGAAUUACUGGGCGUAAAGCGCACGUAGGCGGCUUUGUAAGUUAGAGGUGAAAGCCUGGAGCUCAACUCCAGAAUUGCCUUUAAGACUGCAUCGCUUGAAUCCAGGAGAGGUGAGUGGAAUUCCGAGUGUAGAGGUGAAAUUCGUAGAUAUUCGGAAGAACACCAGUGGCGAAGGCGGCUCACUGGCCCGAUACUGACGCUGAGGCACGAAAGCGUGGGGAGCCAACAGG
rnacentral:rRNA from 1 species